rnacentral:rRNA from 1 species
UCCAAGCAGUGAGAUUGAGUGUUAGGCAAAUCCGGCACUCUUAAGAUUGAGCUGUGAUGGGGAGAGGAACUUGUUCCUCGAGUCGUUGAUUUCACACUGCCGAGAAAAGCCUCUAGCUAGAAUAACGGUGCCCGUACCGCAAACCGACACAGGUAGUCAAGAUGAGAAUUCUAAGGUGAGCGAGCGAACUCUCGUUAAGGAACUCGGCAAAAUGACCCCGUAACUUCGGGAGAAGGGGUGCUCUUUGAGGUUCACGCUUCGAAGAGCCGCAGUGAAUAGGCCCAAGCGACUGUUUAUCAAAAACACAGGUCUCUGCUAAACCGUAAGGUGACGUAUAGGGGCUGACGCCUGCCCGGUGCUGGAAGGUUAAGAGGAGUGGUUAGCGCAAGCGAAGCUACGAAUCGAAGCCCCAGUAAACGGCGGCCGUAACUAUAACGGUCCUAAGGUAGCGAAAUUCCUUGUCGGGUAAGUUCCGACCCGCACGAAAGGCGUAACGAUUUGGGCACUGUCUCAACGAGAGACUCGGUGAAAUCAUAGUACCGGUGAAGAUGCCGGUUACCCGCGACAGGACGGAAAGACCCCGUGGAGCUUUACUGUAGCCUGAUAUUGAAAUUCGGUACAGUUUGUACAGGAUAGGUAGGAGCCUUAGAAGCGUGAGCGCUAGCUUACGUGGAGGCAUUGGUGGGAUACUACCCUAAUUGUAUUGGAUUUCUAACCCGCAGCACUUAUCGUGCUGGGAGACAGUGUCAGGCGGGCAGUUUGACUGGGGCGGUCGCCUCCUAAAGAGUAACGGAGGCGCUCAAAGGUUCCCUCAGAAUGGUUGGAAAUCAUUCAUAGAGUGUAAAGGCAUAAGGGAGCUUGACUGCGAGACCUACAAGUCGAGCAGGGUCGAAAGACGGACUUAGUGAUCCGGUGGUUCCGCAUGGAAGGGCCAUCGCUCAACGGAUAAAAGCUACCCCGGGGAUAACAGGCUUAUCUCCCCCAAGAGUUCACAUCGACGGGGAGGUUUGGCACCUCGAUGUCGGCUCAUCGCAUCCUGGGGCUGUAGUCGGUCCCAAGGGUUGGGCUGUUCGCCCAUUAAAGCGGUACGCGAGCUGGGUUCAGAACGUCGUGAGACAGUUCGGUCCCUAUCCGUCGUGGGCGUAGGAAAUUUGAGAGGAGCUGUCCUUAGUACGAGAGGACCGGGAUGGACAUACCUCUGGUGUACCAGUUGUCGUGCCAACGGCAUAGCUGGGUAGCUAUGUAUGGACGGGAUAAGUGCUGAAAGCAUCUAAGCAUGAAGCCCCCCUCGAGAUGAGAUUUCCCAACUUCGGUUAUAAGAUCCCUCAAAGAUGAUGAGGUGAAUAGGUUCGAGGUGGAAGCGUAGCGAUACGUGGAGCUGACGAAUACUAAUCGAUCGAAGACUUAAUCAA